rnacentral:rRNA from 1 species
UGGGGAAUUUUGGACAAUGGGGGAAACCCUGAUCCAGCCAUCCCGCGUGUGCGAUGAAGGCCUUCGGGUUGUAAAGCACUUUUGGCAGGAAAGAAACGUCGCGGGUUAAUACCCCGCGAAACUGACGGUACCUGCAGAAUAAGCACCGGCUAACUACGUGCCAGCAGCCGCGGUAAUACGUAGGGUGCAAGCGUUAAUCGGAAUUACUGGGCGUAAAGCGUGCGCAGGCGGUUCGGAAAGAAAGAUGUGAAAUCCCAGAGCUUAACCUUGGAACUGCAUUUUUAACUACCGGGCUAGAGUGUGUCAGAGGGAGGUGGAAUUCCGCGUGUAGCAGUGAAAUGCGUAGAUAUGCGGAGGAACACCGAUGGCGAAGGCAGCCUCCUGGGAUAACACUGACGCUCAUGCACGAAAGCGUGGGGAGCAAACAGGAUUAGAUACCCUGGUAGUCCACGCCCUAAACGAUGUCAACUAGCUGUUGGGGCCUUCGGGCCUUGGUAGCGCAGCUAACGCGUGAAGUUGACCGCCUGGGGAGUACGGUCGCAAGAUUAAAACUCAAAGGAAUUGAC